GACGAACGCUGGCGGCGUGCUUAACACAUGCAAGUCGAACGGAAAGGCCCUGCUUUUGUGGGGUGCUCGAGUGGCGAACGGGUGAGUAACACGUGAGUAACCUGCCCUUGACUUUGGGAUAACUUCAGGAAACUGGGGCUAAUACCGGAUAGGAGCUCCUGCUGCAUGGUGGGGGUUGGAAAGUUUCGGCGGUUGGGGAUGGACUCGCGGCUUAUCAGCUUGUUGGUGGGGUAGUGGCUUACCAAGGCUUUGACGGGUAGCCGGCCUGAGAGGGUGACCGGCCACAUUGGGACUGAGAUACGGCCCAGACCCCUACGGGAGGCAGCAGGGGGGAAUAUUGCACAGUGGGCGGAAGCCUGAUGCAGCAACGCCGCGUGCGGGAUGACGGCCUUCGGGUUGUAAACCGCUUUCGCCUGUGACGAAGCGUGAGUGACGGUAAUGGGUAAAGAAGCACCGGCUAACUACGUG
rnacentral:rRNA from 1 species